rnacentral:lncRNA from 1 species
CCCUCCAGGUUCAAGCAAUCCUCCCGCCUCAGCCUCCCAAGUAGCUGGGAUUACAGGCACAUGCCACCACACCCAGCUAAUUUUUGUAUUUUUAGGAGAGAUGAGGUUUCACCAUGCUGGUCUCGAACUCCUGACCUCAGGUGAUCCACCCACCUUGGCCUCCCAAAGUGCUGGGAUUAGAGUCGUGAGCCACCGCGCCUGGCCUAUGAUCGUCUGUUUAUAGCAAUAAAUGAUCUAGCCACAAGAUGUCCUCAUAAACUAAAUAAUACACACCGAGCAGGAAUAAGGUGUAAACUUAACCUCAUUCACACAUUUAUGUGAUUCUUUAUAGCAGGCAUUGGCAAUGUAAAAAAUGAAUGAAGUUUAAUCCCUGCUCUUAGCGGGUUCAGUGUCUAAAGGAAGAGACAAGUACAAAAACUGCAGAGGAAGAAACUGUUGUAGACAGAAUAAAUACAGGUUUCUUGGAGUAAAGAUAUCUAACUUUUAAAAAUGUAUAUUUCCAGGGAAAAGACAUUAGGAAAGGCUUCCUGGAGAACGACAUCUGAGUCUUGAAGAACAGGCAGGAGUUAUCCAGGUGAAGAUAAGGGAAAAAGCCAGGCAGUUGAAGAAAUAGAACUAAAUACGAGCGGCUUGUAGACAGCAAAGGUCAAAUAAGAGAAUUAAACCAACGGAAGAUGAUGAAGGAAUGUCCUGCCCAC